rnacentral:lncRNA from 1 species
CAGUGCCUGAGAACAUGCCAUGCUAGUGCCAGGCCAUGCAUGGUUCCCCAGCAAGCAUCCCCCCCCCACCCACCCACCCAGGGGGCUGCACUGCAGAAACUGGCAUGUGGGCGCUGGCUGACGUCAGGCUGUCUGAGUCCACAGCAGACGAGCUUCUGUCCUGCAAGUAGCACCAGGAGCUCACGCCAGAGCUGCAGCCCGGUUGGCUAAAUCGGAGGGAAACAGGCCCUGGCAUUCUCCUUGGGGCAGCCACAGCGCUGCGUCCAGGCAUCCUGGGAGAGGUGCCACAGGGCAGAACAAACGAGGGCUGUGUAGUGCAAACAGCCUCCCCUGCCAGCUGUCGCCUAGGAGCUCCUUUUCCAUGUGGAGCCUAAGAAUGCGAGAGCAGCUGGAGGAAACCCUCACAUGGCCCCGAAAGCCGAGCCCCGGAUAAGGGGGGUGCAGGCGGUGCAGCACCGGGGUUACAGGUAACAUGACGCUAGGGCUCUCCACUAGCACCUCCACACACUCAGAGGCACUGUGUUUUGUCACCCUGGCCCUCCUGCCAGCACCAGCGGUUGAGGCCUGGAGGAGCCUGGGUGCAGCUCCCCAGGAGCGAGUGAGGGGGAGGGAGCUGCUGCCCUACGGUAGGUGCAGCACCAUGCACUAACUGCCUGCCCUCCCCAUCUCACGGUGUCCCUGCCUCAGAUGAGCACUUCCAGCCCCUCUUGCUGCACUCUGCCGCCUGCGGGGCCUUGGCUACUCGCUCUGCAGCUUCACGCCCUUGGCAGCGCCAGCGCCAAGGAACGCCCCUGUCCUGGCCGGCGUGCACGCAGGAAUGCAAUCAGAGCUGUCAGCACUGGAGGAAUUUCUAAUGUGAACAGGCAGCAACAGGCCCCUCUCAAUCCACGGCAGUGAGUCAGGGCAAGGGGGCUUCCCUCAGCCCGGGGAGCCAGCCCCUCUUCCCUCCCCCUCAGAGAGCAAAGCCAGCCCAGGCCACCUGCCACCAACAGUCAGGCCCAGCUGCUGGUCUUUCAGAAGCCACUGUGGGAAAGCAUUGGUGGAGCAGUACCUCCCCGCCCACCUCAGACCAGGUCACUCUCCUCCCUGCAGAGGUGAGGCACAAGGGCCAGGGUGGCAGGGUUAAACCCUGUUGCAGCCUUGCAGAGACACUUCUCCAGCCAGUAUGUGCCCAAGCGUUUCCUCUCCAGGUGCAGCCUGCAGCUCCAGUCAGGCCCCUGGGUGUGGCUGCGGCUCUGGGGAGAGGUGGUGCUGUCAGGGCUCUGGCAGUGGGGGCCUGAGGCACAUGCUGCUGCCCUUGGAGGUGUCACA